rnacentral:lncRNA from 1 species
CUUAUUCAACCAUAUAUUUUUAUCUUAGAAAAUACAACAAAUACAACAAUUUCCUGUAAAUUAGUCGACCUUUGUUGACAUUCUUCAAUCUCUCCUCUUUCUCUUUGAACACUCAGGUUCUCACUCUCUUUCUCUCUUCACUCUUUUCUUUUGUUUCUCUUUUCUCUCUCACACUCUCAUUCUCUCUAGUUCUCUGUUUCAGUCUUGUUUGGUGUUUGGUUUUUCUUAAGUGAUAACAAGAUGAACUUUAGAGAGAAAAACAUUAAAAGGCUACAUCUUUGAUAUUGAUCAAUCGAUACUUUUUCUUACAAAGCACAACACACACUUAUACUACAUUACUACUUGAUACAGCUUCUAG